rnacentral:siRNA from 1 species
AGGAGAUUGAUGUUUGUUCUGUA